CUUUCUCAAAGCUCUCAGUUGACUGCCAACUAACGGUGUGUUUUCGCCAUGAAUCUUGAUCUUCUGGCAUGGGACAUUCUGAGAUUUGGUUACCAGCAAAUCUUGUGGCCUGGAAAGUUACAUAACUGAAGGCUUGAUUUUGGAUUUUGCUCUGAAGUUUAGUUUGUGUUCCACCCACAGUAAUUAACAUAACCCUCUUGAAAGCGGAAACCAGGUCUGUCUUAGCCUCUUUGGUUUGUCCUCUUUUGCUUACAUAGGGUGGGCAGUUAGAAGAGGGACUCAGCGAAUGUAUAGUCAGGGAUUCAUGCUCAGGAACUUCCCUGAGACUCAGAACACUCCACCUGUAACAACACCGCACCUGAGCAAGGUUUUGGUUGUGCCAUGCCUCGGGACAAGCAGGUAGCAUCCAUAGAAGCUCCCCUCCUACGUUUCAGGUUGGCUCUGGUUAACUCGUUCACUUCGUCAGCAUUUACUGAGCACCUACAAUGAGCUGGGCCCUCAGAGCUGAAUAAGAUACAAACCUACUGCUCCAUGAGGUCAGGAUGUAAUGGAGGAAGGGGCAGUUUCAUCGAUCACGACUACAUAGUGUGGCAGAAUUUGAGAUUCUGAGAACAUGUUCCACGAGUAAACACCUUUCUCACUCUCAAAGCGCCAACUGGAAAUUUCACUCAACGACAAGGAUGCAUAUAUGCCCCCUCUUCUAUAGAAAACAACCACUUGAUGGUCUGUUUCAGACUGACUCUCCUGUAUUUACAAAAAUAUUUUCUAACUGUGAGAAGAGUCACUACGUCUUUGUCAUUCACAAAUUGAUCCAACACUUUCGUUAUCCUCGUAUAUUUCAUCCCGGCAUAAUCUCUUUAUCCGAGCUGCAGAGGAGAGAGUGCAAUUUGACUCCAAAUUAUGAGGACAGUCCCCAAAACACUCCUACGUGGACCAGAAAAGAUGGCAGGCUAGAGACAUCCAAAGAAAGCGAGGACCGAUCCGAGUCUCCCAGGGAGGGGCAUGACCUCUGGACUCCAGGAGCGCUAAUAUUGGCAGCAUCCAAACGUCCUUAAAGAAGGCCAUUAAGUUAGCUAAGCACAUUUACCUGGAACUUAAAUCGUGAUUCCCUUAUAUUUGGUAAGUUGUUAAGACUACGUGAUGCCAAUGAGCUUUUAUUAUAGUCACCAUCAGCAUGUGCAGUUAGGAAGGCUGCCCCGUCUGUUCUCCACUGAAGUGCUUCUCAGCAGAAAUCCUCCACACCUUCUUCAAAAGUCUCUAAUGACAAGUUUACGUUUGGAGGCCUUCAGUCACCCACUUUCACCCUCUUUCUCAAAGCUCUCAGUUGACUGCCAACUAACGGUGUGUUUUCGCCAUGAAUCUUGAUCUUCUGGCAUGGGACAUUCUGAGAUUUGGUUACCAGCAAAUCUUGUGGCCUGGAAAGUUACAUAACUGAAGGCUUGAUUUUGGAUUUUGCUCUGAAGUUUAGUUUGUGUUCCACCCACAGUAAUUAACAUAACCCUCUUGAAAGCGGAAACCAGGUCUGUCUUAGCCUCUUUGGUUUGUCCUCUUUUGCUUACAUAGGGUGGGCAGUUAGAAGAGG
rnacentral:lncRNA from 1 species